GCUGACGCCCUGGGAGGCGGUUUCGGAACUGUUCAGAUCGCUGCAGGGAUAAGAGGAGGAGGAAUUGGGUUCUUCUCUGCCUGAGUCGGGCCAAGCCAUUUAUCUAUCAACAGACGUGGUAUUCUUCCUCAAAAAAACCUAAGAAGCAGCUAAUUUAUAUUGUCAGUAUGAGUAACCAGCAGAUUUUCGGUAAGGUUUGACCAAGGCAAAAAGAGUUGAUUUCAUAAAGUGGCCAUGCCUGAGCUGAUUUGCUGCUGACUGACAGCCUCUCACAUCAGUAUAAAACACUCCCCUCUUUGCCUCUCCUGCCCAGGCCUGGGUAGAAGGGGGUCAUUUUUGAAAAUAUGAGACUUUUCUGUCAUCCUUGUGACUCGGCUUCACCCUAUCUCUUCUUGGAGAUGUCCACAACCCCACAUUCCUGCAUGGUGGCAAGGAAUCACCAUUCCUCUGCUAAACAAACUCAAGACAGAGGUUAGAGAGAAGGGGAAAGUGCAGGGAGCUUUCCCCACUGGGGGGUUCCUGGGGGCUGUGUGAUACACUGGAAGUGGGCUUUCAGUUGGUAGUUUUGUUCAGUCCUCGCCAUUCUCUAACCAGAAUUAGAGUCAAGACAGACCCCAGCAAUCCCAGGGAGCCCAACCAGCAAUGCUCCCUCCCCUUUUUAAAGUUUUUAACCACCAGAUUUUUGAAAUGAAUAACUAGCACCUCUAGUAGCAGCCUCACUGUAGAGAGACACACCCCCAUAAACACACACAUACACACACACGCACGCACACACACACACUUCCCUAAGCAAGACCUACUUCACAGCUGAGCAAGGUAUAUAAUUUGCUGAAGGGUGCAACCCUGAGAACAGGAGACAUUACACUUUACUCAGGGAACCGAGGCAGAGAAGAAACAGUUGUCUUCACCUCUUUCUUCUUUGCAGUUAUUAUCCAAAAGGCUUUCCCCACCCCAACCCCCAGCACCAUCCUCAGUGUUUCAGGUCAUCCGUUGGCUGUGCCCAAAGGGGGUCCCCGGCAGGCCGGUCUGGGGCCAAAGAGGGCGGCUCCCCCUGCGCGGAAUCCUUCCCUGGUGGCUCCCAAAUCAGGCGUUUUCUCUGCCUGCCUUUCCCUCGGGAGAGACUCGAGAGGCUGCAAAAAUCUGGGCGCCCGUUCGCUCGCUUGUCAAGAAGCAAACUGUCUUCACAUUCUCCAAGAGCAACAUCCCUGCCUAGGAAAAGGAAAGAAGAGGCAAAAUAAAUAAAACCAGUUAAUGUUGUAGUUAACUUGCAAAUCAAGUAAAUCUGUUGGUGCCGUAUUUGAGAAAUAAACCAUCAGAGCGUCACAGCAAACACACACUUCUGAACGUCUUCAUUUUGAUUUAAUGGUAUAUCAGCGUCAACUAUCGCUUCCUCUGCUGGUACACACGGCCUGAUGCCGCGGGAGGAGGGUGCCCAUGUUUAUCACCGAGUGAGAUGACUAAUUACACCUUGUCAAUCACCGGCUAUGAAGACAUAAAACCAGCGCGCACAAUGAAGUAGUUGCCUGCAGCGUCAAUUAGUUGGCGAUUCGGAGGUUAUUGCGUGGCCCUGCUUUGGCCGCCUCUAAUAACGGGACAGAGCGCCGGGAACGGCGCACUGAUCAAUCACCCUCCUUCCGCGGCUACCCGGCUCCCGCCCCCUCUUCCCCCGCCAGGCCCGGCCUCACUU
ensembl:lncRNA